rnacentral:tRNA from 2 species
GCCCAUAUAGCUCAGCUCGGUAGAGCGCAUCCUUGGUAAGGAUGAGGUCACCGGUUCAAAUCCGGUUAUGGGCUCCA